ACGUGCCAGCAGCCGCGGUAAUACGUAGGGUGCAAGCGUUAUCCGGAAUUAUUGGGCGUAAAGGGCUCGUAGGCGGUUCGUCGCGUCCGGUGUGAAAGUCCAUCGCUUAACGGUGGAUCUGCGCCGGGUACGGGCGGGCUGGAGUGCGGUAGGGGAGACUGGAAUUCCCGGUGUAACGGUGGAAUGUGUAGAUAUCGGGAAGAACACCAAUGGCGAAGGCAGGUCUCUGGGCCGUUACUGACGCUGAGGAGCGAAAGCGUGGGGAGCGAACAGGAUUAGAUACCCUGGUAGUCCACGCCGUAAACGGUGGAUGCUGGAUGUGGGGCCCGUUCCACGGGUUCCGUGUCGGAGCUAACGCGUUAAGCAUCCCGCCUGGGGAGUACGGCCGCAAGGCUAAAACUCAAAGAAAUUGACGGGGGCCCGCACAAGCGGCGGAGCAUGCGGAUUAAUUCGAUGCAACGCGAAGAACCUUACCUGGGCUUGACAUGUUCCCGACAGCCGUAGAGAUACGGUCUCCCUUCGGGGCGGGUUCACAGGUGGUGCAUGGUCGUCGUCAGCUCGUGUCGUGAGAUGUUGGGUUAAGUCCCGCAACGAGCGCAACCCUCGCCCUGUGUUGCCAGCACGUCAUGGUGGGAACUCACGGGGGACCGCCGGGGUCAACUCGGAGGAAGGUGGGGAUGACGUCAGAUCAUCAUGCCCCUUACGUCCAGGGCUUCACGCAUGCUACAAUGGCCGGUACAACGGGAUGCGAC
rnacentral:rRNA from 1 species